rnacentral:rRNA from 1 species
UACAGAGGCCUCGAGCGUUAGGCGGAAUCACUGGGCUUAAAGCGUGUGUAGGCGGACCCCUAAGUACCUUGUGAAAUCCCACGGCUCACCCGUGGAACGGCUGGGUAUACUGGGGGUCUUGAGCCACCUAGGGGGCGAGUGGAACAAAUGGUGGAGCGGUGAAAUGCGUAGAUAUCAUUUGGAACGCCAAUGGUGAAAACAACUCGCUGGGGGUGUGCUGACGCUGGAGACACGGAAAGCCCAGGGGAGCGAACGGG